rnacentral:lncRNA from 1 species
GAACAUACCACUGAUAAUGAGUUGAACAAAAUCAUAGAAAAUAUAGAUUGAAUUUCCCAAUUUCGAAGGGAAGAAAGAGCAGAUACACAAUAAUUUAUCUCACAGGACUGCAGUCCCGACCUCCUGGCAGUUCAAAUAACAAAAUAAACAGCUUCCACAAAAAACUAGUCGAGCCUUUUUUACGUUGGAAUAGAGCAGAUUGUCCUUGGUCAGUGGCAUAUUCAAAAGAAAGUGGAUCUGCACCAAACAACAUGAUUCAAUGAGACCAUUUUAUGGAAAGCUAACCACAGUUUAAAAAACUUGAGACGGGUACUGCUUGUCUACUAGUAUGUACAGUGGAUACAAUCUUCGAGUCCAGAAAAGCCAUAUAGUUGAAAUAUGCAUAAAUAGGAAGUGCUUCAACACGACAUAUUUCCUAUCAGUCUCACACCAAAAAACAUUAUUCGAGAACUCAUCACGUAAAAAGUAAACGAUAAUAGGAGCUAGUAAUAAUUUUUUAGGAUUGGAGUCUUAAUUUAUUUAUCUUCAUAAAAUUAAUAAUUUAUUCAAUAAUUGAUUAAUUGAUUACCGAUAUUGUAACUAGUGUUAUUUAUAUUAGACUGGGGCAUCCACAAGUUGCUUCAUUAGCUUAGACAAUUACUACUACUUAAGAGACAUAUUCUUGUGUUUGGCCAAUAGUUUUGUGACACAUCGACUUGAAUAGCGAUAAGUGAAAUGUCAUCUAGAAUGCUUAGAUAUGAUAAAAUGUUUGGCUAACACGAUACAGUAUUAAGUUCAAAUUUUAUGCUAUACCAAGAUUACGUUCUAGAUUUCACUUUAACCAAUUUGACCUUACAUGCGGAAUUAAUCUAACUAAAGCAACAAAUCACUUUAAUUAGUUGUCUAGGUGAUUAAUCAUAUAAGUCAAUUAACCUAUGUUGAAAUGCCACAGUUUGUAUAUUAUGGAAAACAAUAAAUAACAAACAAUAUGAUGACGGAGAAACUUCAACGUGGGUAAAACUUCGGGACAAAGCCAGUUACUUCUGCUAUACCAAUUCAGUAAGUACAAGUUAUACCAAAUUUUGUACCCAAUCAGACCUACUGUUCCAAUCUCACGAUCUACUAUUGUAGAUACUUCUAGCCUCCUGCUAGACUUCCCGAUGAAGCCCAAUCUCCUGUCCACUACAACCUCCUGGUCCUUAACUGAUUGUAUAACCAAGUGGAACACCAAGAACCACCCGUUCUUAUGCCUGUAACUGUGCCUCAAUCCACCUCUCUCAAUCCUCCAAUGUGAGAAUCCCUUCCUCAAUAGAUUAAGGAAGUAAGGUGUUUUUGGUUAUGUAGAUUCGAUGUUUUUUCCCAAAACAAUGGUUGUCAGAUCAUAAGAUUGAUGUGGACAAAAUCUCCAAUAAAUUGCACCUUGGAUCUUUUCAAAGAUGUUAUGAAUAUCUUUUGCAAUGAAAGAAUAAUGUAACAACCUCCCCAAAUUCGUGCUAGAGCUUGGGUUUUUAUAUUUGAAGGUGUCUAGGUGGUAUGGGCCAAGUAAAACACUUCAAAAAUGUGAACUAGGGGUUUUGCCACAUGGGAAUGUUGCUUGAGCGAGAUGCCAGCGAGAAUUGAGUGAGCGGUAUUUUGUUUUUUUGCUCAAGCGAAUUGCUAGUGAGAAUCGAGCGACAGUGAGCAGUCGUUAGUAUUUUUAUUAUAAUUUUUUCUCCUGAUAUCCGAUUAAAGUGAUUCAACUUGUGUUGAAAAGAUAAUUCAAGGGAAUACAAUUCUUAUGGAAAUAGACUCGUCCAAAUUCCAUCAUUUUCUAUGAAAAAAAUGUGUUGAAAGUUAUGACUGAAAAUCCGGAACAUAAUUUGUGUGGCUCUUUGAUAUCCUUUAAACUUCCAAUUGCAUCCCAAUGAUCUUAUGUGAUCUUUUUAGACAUUUUGGACUCCUUCAAAGACUCGAACACCAUCUAUAUAAAAUUGCACCCUAAGCCCUUGACUUUUACAAUAAUGUUCAAUUGAGUCCCUGGCUUUUACAAACAUACAAUUACGCCCGUUUUGUCUACAAAAUUGCCAAUCACACUUUCAAACCUAACAAUAAGGAGUUUAGUUUCUUCUCCAUAUUAGUAUGAUGUGGAUUUCACAACACUUAUAUCCAAGAAAUUUUCGAAGUGAUAGGGUUUCUUAAGUUUUAAGACACCAUAAAUUCUCUGUUUGAUUUCGUAGAAUACGUAAUUUUUCCAUUUUUUUCCCUUAAGAUUCAUGUAUAUAGUCUGCAUUAAGUUGCUUGUGUUAUUAGAUUUGGAUAUUUCUGGAACAGUUUUGAACCUUUUAGUUUGAAGAUAGACUAAAAACUAUACAAGUUGGACCCCUUAAUUAUCCUUUUAGAUUACACGUCCAUAGCUUGUUUAGGUGAAAGUAUAUGUAUAAUUUUCAUUUUGACUAAUCUAUGAUCAUUUACGAAGCAGGUAAAGUUUGACUAAUUUGUUGGAUGAAAUCAGCCUGUGUGGAACAUGUUUCUCCAUUAUGGAUCACAAUACCAAUAUAACUAAAUUUAAAGUUAAAUGAACUUCAACUGUAUCCUCUAUGCAUUCCAGACCAUAUAAUGCCGUAGACCAAGAUUUCAUUCUUUAUACACUGUACGUGUAUCUUUCAUUAGAAAUCCCAUUUAAAAUCUGUUGCGCAAAUCCCAUGUUAAAGUUUCAAUAGUUCAAGGAGGAUUCUCAUAUUUUGAGAUUUUGUAUCUAACAAGAUUUUUGUUAACAGAGAUACAGCUCAAUGUCUAAUAACUAUGAUAAUUGGGAAAGACUUGUGGAAACCGUGCUGCUGAGACAACAUGACCGGGACUUGCUUUAGCUCAUUCCAGGAGACCAAGUACAAGCUAUAGUAUCAUAUUUGAUUCUGGUACUCAAAUUCAUGACAAUGAGAAUAUUCAACUUGGAUCAUCUUCUAAUAUUGUAAAUGAAAGAAAUUGGGAGAAGUAGAAAAUGAAAAAAGGUUGUAUAUUUGUUGUGUAUUUUUUUCUCAUAAGAAACAUGAGUACAAAGCUAAAAUAUUUAAAUACAUAGACAGCCAAAAGAUUUCCAUAAACAUAGCAGUAAAAAUGAUAUGUUAAUAUGCUCUUCAAUCCUUGAUUUAUUUUGUGUUUAAAGCAGGUUGAGUGAUUUCUUGGGCUAAAUGAUAUGCAAGAUCUUGAUUGAUAAUCUUUGAUUCCUAUAGUGCAUGAUUGGAGUUUCCAUCUCUAAUACCCUCUCGCAAACUAUGCCGGUGUCAGAGUCAGAGUUUGGGACGAAAGUAAUUGAGGGAAGCCUUUGUUACAAGCUUGGUGAAAAGUUCUGCAACCUGGUAAUCAGUGGAGAUAUGGCGAGUGGUAAGUAGUUCAAGUGCAACUCUUUCACGGACAAAGUGGUAAUCUAACUCAAUGUGUGUGCUUCGGGCAUGAAACACAAGAUUAAUGGUCAUAUGAAGGGCACUGAGGUUGUCACAGUACAUGAUUGGGGAAGAACCCAUAGGAAUGCGAAGGUCGUUUAAAAUAAAAGUCAACCACGUGAGUUCUGCAGUAGUGUUGGCCAUGGCACGGUACUCAACCUCGGUACUGGUACGAAAGAUUGUAUGUUGUUUCUUCGACACCAGAAAAUGAGGUUGCCCCCAAGGUAGGUACAGUAGUUGGUGGUGGAGCGCCUGGUAGUGGGACACCCCACCCAAUCUACAUUGAAAAAGGCACAUAGAUCAAGUGAAAUGUUAGAUGUGAAGUGUAAACCGAGGUCAAUACUACCUUUAACAUAUCAUAGGAUACGCCGAACCAUUUUCAAGUGAAGGAUGGUGAGAGCAUGCAUGAAUUGAGAAAUGUAAUUAACACUAUAGGAGAGAUUAAGACGUGUGAGGGUAACGUACUGUAAAGCCCCUAACAAGGCCCCGAAAGUAACUUGGAUCUGCCAACGAAGUGUUAUGUAAGGAGGCCUUUUCUUUUGCUUCAAGUGGUGUACUCAUAGGUUUAUAGUCUAUCAUGUUAGAGCGCUCGAGUAUGGUAAGGGUGUAAUGAGAUUGUGACAAGAGACGGCCAUCUUGUGUCCGGGAGAUUUCAAUACCAAGGAAGUGAUGCAACGGUCCUAAGUCCUUCAUAGCAAAUUCACGACCUAGCAAAUGAAUAAAGGUUGUAACAAUUACCAUAAUGGAACCUGUAAAUAAGAUAUCGUCAACAUAAAGUAGCAAGAUUAGUGAACCAUGAGGAAAAUGAAAAAUAAAUAGGAAUGGAUUGGCCAAGCUACAAAAGAAACCAUAUUUAAGGAGGAAGGCACUGAAACGAUCAAACCAGGCGUGUGGCGCCUGUUCAAGGCCAUAGAGAGCCUUUUGAAACUUGCAAACGUGUGUGGGAUGCUAUGGGUCAGCCAUUCUUGGAGGUUGCAGCAUAUAUAUAUUCUCGAAAAUAAGGCCAUGGAGGAAGGCAUUCUUUACACCCAGUUGAUGAAUGACAGGAGAAAAGGUCUCAGUGUAGUCUAUGCCAUAAAUCUGAUGAUAUCCUUUUGCAACCACAUGGGCCUUGAGGCAAUCUAAAGAGCCGUCGUGUUUGAGUUUGGACUUGAAAACCUACUUAGAGCCAAUGCAUAUCAGGGACACGGGGAACAAGUUCCCACGUCUAGUUUUGAUGUAGGACAGCAAGUUCUUCGUCCAUGGAAGCUUUCCAACCAAGAUGAGCCAAGUCCUCUCGAACAUUGGAAGGUUCAGGAAGGAUAUAGGCAGAGGAUAUGGUAGUCAAGGCAUAUUUUGGGUUGGGUUUAACAACUCCAAGGCGAGACCAGGUAACCAUGGGGUGCGAGGCUAGAGCAUGUGGGGGCUAGGAGAUUUUUGGUGCACGCCUCAAAUUUCGGUUGUGAAGAAGGCUCAGAAGCAACACAAGAAACAAAUGGAGAUGGUUCGAACCCAAGUUGUGUGCUGGCUGGAUGAGAAGUUAAAGUCGUAUCCUCAGGUGAUGCAAAUCUGGUGAGAUGGAAGAUUCAGCAUGUCCAAAAUUUGGAACGUGCGGAGCCACUGAUGGCAAAGGACUCAGGCAUGGAGGAGGAGAUGUUACGGGAGCUAGGGGAGCAUGUGUUGAUGGAGCCGUUGAUUGAGGAAUGAAGUCAGGAUGCGGUAACCAAGAAUCAAAAAUGCUAAUGACCUACGAUGAGGUGGGAGAGGUAUUAGUUUUAUGAUUAGUUGAAAAUCUAACUCAUCAAAGACAACGUGCCGCGAGAUUAAAAAAAAAUUUUGCUUGAGGGAUGAAAACAGUUGUAACCUUUAUGUUUAUCACUAAAGUCUACAAAGAUGUAGGGAAUAGUCUUAGAAUCAAAUUUGUGGCGUCAUGUGUCCCAAGUGUAAGGAAAACAUUUAGAGCCAAAAAUGUGAAGUGAGGAGUAAAUAGGAUGAGUACCAUGUAAUGUAAAAUAUGGGGUCUCAAAAUUAAGAGCAGAUGAAGGUAGGUGAUUCAUAAGGUAGGCAGCCGUAGUGAAGGCUUUGACCUAUAGAAAAAGAGGGGUACCACUAUGAAAUAGCAUAGACAUACCAAGUUCUCAUAUAGUCCUAUGGCGUCUUUCAACCAUACCUAUUUGUUCUAGAGUGUACAGGUAAGAUACCUGAUGAAUGACUCCUGUAGACAAAAAAUGAGAUUAUAGUUUCGAGUUGAUGAAUUCGCCACCUCCAUCAGGGUGAAAGAUUUUAAUUUGUUUAUUGAAUUGCCUUGUAACAUAUUGCUUAAAGGAGAUGUAAGCAGUAAAAAAAUCAGAAUUAUGUCGUAAUGGAAUGAUCCAAGUAUAUUUAGAGAAAUCAUUGACCAAGCAUGCAUAAUAUCUAAAUUUACCAAUAGACAAAAUAGGGGCAGGUCCCCAUAAAUCACAUUGUAUUUUUUUAAAUACAUUAGAACUCGAAUGUUCAGAGCUGGAAAAUGGUAGUUUACUAAGCUUUCCUAGUUGACAACUAUCACAAAGGUGUUCAGAUUUCAUAGUCCCUGUGACAUCAAUUAAUCCUUUAUUUUUCAAUAAUUGUAAAGCCAAAGGUUGAGGGUGUCCCAAGCGUUGAUGCCAAACUUCUGUCGAUCCUGAUUUGAAACUAUGGGAAAAAUACAAUUCUGGUAAAGUGGGGAGAACAGAGAGGUCACCCUUGCGCUUCCCUGUUAUUAUUGGCCAUCCUAUUUCCCGUUCUUUAACACAAAAAUCAGUAUUAGAGAAUUCACAAUUAACAGGAAAUUGACCAGUAUGCUGACUUAAGGAGAGCAAUUUUUUUGUUAAGUCAGGAACAAGUAGGACAUCACAAAGAGGUAAGGUAAUAUUCUUCUGUUUAAUGCAAGAGUCACCAAUACCAAGGAUAGGUAGAGAGGAUCCAUCUCCAAUAAGAAUUGAAUCAGUACCAAAAUAUUCACGUAUGUUGGUUAACAUACCUGGCUUACCUGUCAUGUGAUUAGAAGCUCCCGUGUCUGAGGUCCAUUCAGUGUCUGUGAUGGAGUUGUCUAGUGUAAGUGCUGCAAGUGCUUAUGGUAUAUCAUCACAUUGAGUAGACUUCUUGGGUAUCCACCAACAAAUUUUGGCGAUGUGACCCAUUGAUCCACAGUACUGGCAUUGUUCCUCUCGGUAUAGAUCUCUUUCAACGGGAGUCAUACGACGUUGUCUAGGCAGCGGAGGACGACGUUGAUGAGUUAAAGGAGUGUAAUCGUUCAAAUAGCUUUGGUUAUGGUCCCUUGGUUGUUGUGCUUGGAAGCCUCACCAGUGGAAGUGAAUUUCUGUGAGUUGCCACGGUACCUAGAAAGAGGCUAUUGAGGCCGCUGCUGCUGUCCAUAAAAUACCAAUUGAGGAGUAAACUGGGGACUUGGUGGAUUGGCAUGAUUAAAAAAGCAACUGCGCCUCUGAUCAAGAUUUUGGAGCUGUGAAAUCAGCUCAGUGUAUGUUGGUCUUGGUGGCUUUAGCAUGGUGGUUGUGAAGGUUUCAUAUUGAGGCCCAAGACUGGUGAGAAGGCAGAAAACUUUCUCUUGGUCAGGGACGGGUUUGCCAAUGGCUACAAGAUAGUCACACAAUCCUUUGAAGGUGCGUAUAUGAUCUCCAAUUGUUUUGUCUUCCUCCUUGCGAGGGUAAGUCAGUUGCUGUCGUAAAGUUAACUCACGUUCCUGUGAGUCCUAUGCAUAUGCAUUUUUUAGAGCUUCCCAUACUGCAUGGGCUAUGUCUAAGCUGACAAUGAGUCCAAGAGUUUCCUCAAAAAGUGUUCCAAUGAUCCAUCCUCAAAGAAAAGGAUCAGACUUUCGCCAGUAAUGAAUUCUUCUGUUAAACUGGGAACAAUAUUUUUUUGUCUCUGUGAUAUUGUUUGGAUUUGAUGUGGUGUAUUUGGAGGGGUAGGCUCUUCAUUUGUGAGAUGGCCAACUAGCUCCUAACUUUCUGCAAGAGCCAAAGCUUGUUCAUGUCAUAGGGGAUACUUGGUUGGAGUGAGCCUGAGUGUAAUGAAGUUGCCUACGUUUAAGGAUAGAGAGGUCAUGGUGUAAAAAAAAAGACUUUGGUGUGUUAAGCCCUGUACUCACACAAGCUCUGAUACCAAGCAGAAAAUGAAAAAAAGGCUAUAUAUUUGUUGUGUAUUUUUUUCUCAUAAGAAAAAUGAGUAAAAGGCUGAAAUAUUUAAAUACAUAGACAGCCAAAAGAUUUCCAUAAACACAAUAGUAAAAAUGGUAUGUUAAUAUGCUCCUCAAUCCUUGAUUUAUUUUGUGUCUAAAGCAGGUUGAGUGAUUUCUGGGGCUAAAUGAUAUGCGAGAUCUUGAUUGAUAAUCUUGGAUUCUUGCAAUGCAUGGCUGGAGUUUCCAUCUCUAAUAGGAGAGAUUGCAGCUAUCAGAUUAUGAGGACAUCAUCUCCAGAUUUGAGGAUCCUUUGGCCUAUGCAACCAUAAAAAACCUCUACUCGAGUCUUUGUGACUCUCCAAUUUUACUUGAUGGAGGACAAAUGGCAACACCAUAAAUUUCUAUAAAUUUCUAUAUUCUGCUGUUAAUUGUGGACUUAACCUAAAUAAAAGGAUUAAUUAUUUGAACAUUGAAGAAUGCAGAGCUUUCAUAAUGAUAAAACAACUGGGAAGAAAUGUGUUAUGAUUGGAGCAAGAAACUCAAAAUUUUAUGGGGUGAAAUCCCAGAAUUCUGGAAGUUGGCAUCUCACCCAGACUCCAAGUCCUUAACCAUAUACAAGAUAUAUCUUUUUUCUUUUGAAUUUCCUUUGAAAUUGCAUGUUAAUAAUAUUAUGUGCAGAUUCUCAACAGUGGCGAAGCUUAAACAAGUUUUGAGGUUUGAUAUUCGAGGACAAAUAGAUACAAAUAUGUUGUCGCCAGAGACACCCUAUGCAGCUUAUCUAGUAUAUGGAUUUGCGAAUUCUUACAAGGGUGGUCCCUUGUUAGCAAAUGCAAUUAUCAGUUUUGAUAGAAUUAAGGAUGGCGAUGCUCAGAAGCGAGCUAGUGUUUUCAACCUUAAUCCACGGACAGAUAGAAAUGGGAAUACUGCAAUGAGACUCGAUAAGUGGAUGGAGGUAGAAAUUGGAAGCUUUUAUACUGAUCAAGAAAAUAACAGUUGUGGAGGUGCGAGUAUGGAAGAAUAAACAAUGUUUGAAGCCCGUCCUCAUUGUAGAAGGCAUUGAAUUUCGACCCCCCAAUGAUAACAGUGUGAUUUUUCCAAAGAAAACUGUGAGAGAGAAAAGGAAAGGGAGUCGAAGAAUCUUUUCAAUCCAUAGGAUUUUUGGAUGAAUCUUUACAGUCCUUAGGAUUUAUUUUCUUUUCUGUCUUCUCCCAACUUGUUCAGAGUGGGGCUAAAGUUGCUCUGCGAGAGUACUUAACCUUAUUUGGGCUGAACAAGUUAUUAGUUAUCUAAAUAAUAAGUAAUAUCCCCACCCCUGAAGUUAUGUAAACAUUAUUUAAGAAAUAUAUGUUACAACAUAUGCAGAAGAAUCAUACUUUGAGAGAAAUAACUUGGGAAUGCUCAUCCACAUUUCAAUUACCAUGGUUGUCUAUGCAUGUGCAAAACUAAUGAAGUGAUGAUAUUUUUUUUCCUUAUAUUCUCUAUUUUCAGAAGAGAUGUUGAAUGUUGAUACAUAGCUGCAUCUAAAUAAAGUAUUAAGUGAUGCAAUGUGAAUCAAGACGGAAAUGUGAAUAAUUCUGGUUGAUUCCAAGUGAAUACCAAAUAAGGUUAAAAAAAAUUUAAAUUAAAGGGGGAAAUGAAUAUUUUUAAACCUUAGAAUCUCUAGAUGAAAUGAAUAAAUAUUCAGUGUCGCCGCCUGAUUUGUCUUCCUUUUCGCCUUCUCCCAACUUUUUCGGUGUAGGGCUGAAGCUGCAAUGCUUGACUAUUUAUCCUUACUUGGAUUGUAAAACACAAGUUACUAGUAUUGUAAAGCCCCCACCAAGUUCCUAGUAGCUCUGCCCCUAAAGUUAUGUAAAUGUUAUGUAAGUAAUAUAUGUUACGACACACGUAGAAGAAUCAUACUUUUAGAGAGAAAUGACAUGGGAAUGCUCCUCCACAUCUCAAUUACCAUGGUUGUCCAUGCUUGUGCAAGUAUGAUGCAGGAAUAAGAAUAUUUGUAUAUUCUCUAUUUGCAGUGGUGAUGUUGAUAGAUAUGUAUAUAUAAAGGCACAACUGACCUUUUUUCUCUCUCUCUCUCUCUCUCUCUCUCUCUCUCUCUCUCUCUAUAUAUAUAUAUAUAUAUAUAUAUAUAUAUAUAUAUAUAUAUAUAUAUAAUUUGGAACUACAACCGUCAAAAGAAACAGGAAAGAAAACAAUUAAGUGAAGAGGCUAAUGCAAGGAUUUAGGAGCUAACAAUAAGUCGUGUUUGAAACCAGUAUGGAUGGGGUUCGGUUGAGAACUCUGCCACCAAUUUUUGACAUUGAGGUAGACCAAAAAUAUCAGAGAUGUAGGUAAAGGAAGAGACAAGAACAAUUGAGUCCUAAGUGUCACAUAGUGGGAAUGCUUAUCUCCCCAUGGGGCAAGGUAAAGUCGCCAACAACUACACGUAUGUUAUCUUUUAUCAAGGAGUGCACUAAUGAUAUGAUCUCUAGCAAGUAAUACCUAACAUCCAAUUCAGGUUUUGUGAUUUUUGGGGGCCUAGGACCUUCAAAAAUAAGGCCAAAAAAAAAAAAAAUUGUAUUAUGCAUGAUUUGUGUAUUAUGGUACUAACCAUGAAGUUAACUUAAUAAUUAACUAUAAAACAAAAUAAAAAAAAUGUAUUAUAAACUUUAUCUGAUUCUAUUAUUUUCAAAAUAGAUUUUUCUCUUCUUUUUUAUUCUACCACACAUUCUUUAAUAAAAUAACAUUACAAGCAAACCACAAACUUUUCCUUAUUUUUUAACCACACAUUUUUUAUCAAUCUAUCAUUCCAAAAUGCAUUUUACACCAAAAAUAGGGCUCAAACAAGCUUAUAGUCAAAAUUAUUAUUAUUAUCAAAUAACAAUGGGCCCGCACAAUCGAUCCUACAAUUAAAUCUAACUAAAGUCAAUAUGACCCAACAAGGGUACAAUACUGCAACACAAUCAAAUAAGUUGAUAAGGCUUCAAACAUUUCCUAUAUGUUUAUAAAUAAACGAGUGCAAGCCAUUGCUUGCCUGAAAAAUAGGAUUUGAGCAAAAAUUAUGAAAUGACACAAUGUGACACUUUGAGAUUUCUAUCAUCACAACUCACAAUCCUGAAAUCAAAAUUUAAUGGCAACAACAAUGACAAAUUAAUUAUUGAAGAUAAAUUUAAAUUAAACAUGAAGAUAUAUUUAAUACCUUUGGCGCCUGUAAAUUAUGUCAACACCUUUAAAUUGCACCACUACAAUACCUAAAAUUCCUAUAUUUCUUACAAUUGAGAUGUGUACUGGUAAACUGUGAAACUCCAAUGAGACAUGAGUCAGGCUUGUCUCUGCCAGUCUAUUAAAUUACUAAUCUUAAUCUCAAAGUAAAGAACUGUUAUUAAUAAAUAAUAGAUCCAUGUUCAAGUUUUAUCUAGAGUAUCAACAAUAAAUUAUCAAAAAGCCCUCUUUGCUUUGAGUUUGAGUUAUAAUACUUGAUUGAAGGAAAACAAAUCAUAUCCCAAUUCAUUGAAUCCAUAAAAUACAGAAUAUUGUUCAUAGUAGUAAGUUUGUCCAAUUGCCAUACACAUUCUCCAAUUAUAAAUAGUGCAACAGCUAUAUAAUGGUUUUGUUUUAUUACCAUUUUUGAUUAUGUUGUUUUGUGUCAAUAAAAAAAGUUAAAGAUCCUAAAUGGCCAAACCACAACAGCAAAACUCCAAUUCCAAUUAUGAGCAUAAACUAAUCCAGCCAAGCAGUUUUUUUAUAAAAUUGGAAAUUGGAUAAUACAUUUUGGUUAGAAUUGCAAUAAUGGUUUUGGAAAUUUCAAUAAAAUAGCCCAAGUUCAGCCACUUCGCUUGAGAAAUUGUUGGAUGCAAAAAAAAAAAAAAAAAGAAAAAAAAAAAAAAAAAAAAAAAAAAAAAAGAAAAGAAAAAAGAAAAAAAAAAAAAAAAGAGAGAAGGAAUACUGAAAUCUGAAUGAAUAUUACAUAUAAAUUAGAUUUUAUAUCGGUAAAGUAGGGCCAUGUAGGUAUUGGCGUGGAUGGCGAGUUGGCGACGGUCGACGGACGGCUUAGACUUGAAAGAGAAGUGGGUUUUCGUGAUGCAAACCCCAUAGCAACGUUGACUACGAAACCCACAACGAGAUUGACGAACCCAAAAAAGUCAAAUUAAUCCAAAAGUUUAGGAUUAACCCAAAAGAAAGUUGAACCAAAAAACCCAACAAGAACGACGCUUGUAAGACCCCUUGAUCACACAAUCUAAGAAUUAAAUUUGGUUGUUUGAAUGCCACAAGUUAACAUUUGAUAAGUUCGAAAUUGUUCAAUGAAGAACGAUGAAGAGAAGACAAUGCGCCUCACUUUUAAUUCAAUAUUAUGUAUGUCAAAAGUUUUUAACAAUUGAAUGGAAACUCCUAUUUAUACUAAACCUAAAAACUAGAUAAAAAUCGUACAAAAGUCGAUCAUAAUCCCCAAAAUAUGGAAAGGAAUAAAAAACUAACAAAAUAUGGAAAAUUGCCUAAAUUAGGAAUUUCGCAAAAAAAAAUGGUCUAUGCGACCACAUAGUGUAUUUCCAUGCGGUCGCAUGGUUCAGUCCGGUUGGCUCCUUUGAGUUUCGGUAAGCACCUAUACGGUCGCAUGGUGUUUUAGCCUUUGCUGUCGCAUAGGCUUGUUUUCAACCUCCGAUUUCGUCGCUUGAUAACAAAUUGAUCCAAGUUGAUUCGGCCUUCAACCCAAACAUGAAAGUUGCUCCAUUUUGAGUCCCGAACAUGGUUCCAUCAAUGGUUUCUUGAACGAGUAAUCACAUCACUUGUUUCGCUUGCUUUGCCCUUGAUCGCGUCAUUGGUCCGUCAUCGACUAUCAACGGGUCUCGUCUCGUAGUUGCCUUCAUCGGGCUCGACUCCCGGGUCAUAUCAUCCCCUCCCUCUUCAAAAGGAUUUGUCCUCGAAGCUAAACCUACAUCAAACAGAGAGAGAUCAGAUACAUUAAAAGUAGCCGAAACAGUAUACUCACCUGGAAGGUCCAACUUGUAAGCAUUGUCGUUUAUCUUUUCAAUCACUUAAAAUGGUCCAUUGCCCCUCGGUUACAACUUGGACUUCCUUUGCUCCGGAAAUCGCUCCUUCCUAAGGUGCACCCAAACACAAUAUCCUGGCCUGAAUGUCACGUGCUUCCUAUCUUUGUUUGCCUGCGAUGCAACCAACUUACUUUUGUUUUCAAUUUGUACUUUUACCUUUUCAUAGAUUGACUUAACCAAUUACAUCUUCUUUUUGCCAUCUAAACUACCACAUUUAUUCACAGGUAAAGGAAUUAAAUCCAAAGGAGUUAGUGGAUUAAAACCAUAUACAAUUUCAAAUGGAAAAUAUGACGUAGUAAAGUGAACAGCUUAAUUGUAUGCAAAGUCAACAAAUGGUAGACACUCCUCCCAAUUUUUCAAAUUUGUAUUGAUUACUAUGCGUAACAAUUGUGUCAUAGUCCUAUUCACUACCUCGGUUUGCCCAUCCUUUUGUGAGUGACAAGUUGUGGAAAAUAGUAACUUAGUGCCUAACUUACCCCAUAAACUCUCCAAAAGUGACUCAAAAAUUUGACAUCCCGAUCCAACACUACGCUUCUAGGAACACCAUGUAAACGCACAAUCUUUUUAAAUAUUAAGUCAGCAAUGUUCAUGGCAUCGUCAGUUUUGUGACAUGGUAUAAAAUGUGCCAUUUUGCUGAACCUAUCUACAACCACAAAAAUAGAAUCCCGACCUCUCUUAGUCUUAGGUAAACCUAAAAUAAAGUCCAUCGAGAUAUCAACCCAAGGCUCACUAGGUGUAGGUAAAGGUGUGUACAAACCUUGUGGUAAAACCUUAGAUUUAGCCUUUUUACAACCUAUACAUCAACUACAAAUUCCCUCAACAUCACUUUUCAUCUUAGGCCAAUAAAAAUGCUCCUUCAAUACGUCUAAAGUCUUUUGAACCCCAAAGUGUCACAUCAAUCCACCACUAUGUGCCUCCCUUACUAACAACUCCCGAAUAGAACAAUUAGGAACACAUAACCUAUUUUCCCAAAAUAAAUACCCCUCAUACCUAAAGAACCUAUCAAUCACCCCUUUUAUGCAUGACAAAUAAAUAUCCGAAAAUUCAACAUCUUUUUCAUACAAUUCCUUAAUAUGUUCAAACCCAAAUAGCUUAGAAUCAAGAGUAGUUAGCAAUACAUACCUUCGCGACAAUGCAUCCACCACCACAUUUUCCUUAUCUUGGUUAUAUCGAAUGACAUAUGGAAACGUCUCAAUGAAUUCCAUCCACCGCGCAUGCCUCUUGUUCAAUUUAUCUUGUCCCCGCCAGUGCUUUAGUGAUUCAUGAUAGGUGUAUAUUACGAACUCCUUCGGCCAUAGAUAAUGUUCCCAAGUCUCCAAAGCUCGAACAAGUGCAUAAAGUUCUUUAUCAUAUGUAGGGUAAUUUAAAGCAGCUCCACUCAAUUUCUCGCUAAAAUAUGCAAUAGGUCUCCGAUCCUGUAUUAAAACUGCUCCAACCCCUAUUCCUGAUGCAUCACACUCAAUCUCGAAUGUUUUAUCAUAGUUAGGCAAUGCCAAAACAGGUGCUUCACACUAUCUACCUUUAAUAGUAUUAAAUGCAAGUUCCUAUUCAUCACUUCAAUGAAAACCUACUCUUUUUUUAACUACUUCCGUGAGUGGUGCGGUGAUAGUGCUAAAAUCCUUCACAAAACGCCUAUAAAAACUAGCCAAACUAUGAAAACUCCUAACUUCUGUUAUACUUUUAGGUGUCGGCCAAUCUCUAACAGCUUUUAUCUUUUCAUCAUCUACUUCUACCUCAUUAGCACUAACCACAAAACCAAGAAAAAUAACUCUAUCCAUACAAAGCGUACAUUUCUUAAGACUAGCAUAGAGUUAUUCUUUCCUUAAAACAAUUAACACACACUUUAAAUGUUCUAAAUGCUCUCCUAGGUCUUUGCAAUAGAUUAAGAUGUCGUCAAAAUAAACCACAACAAAUUUUCCUAUAAAAGCACGUAAAACAUGGUUCAUUAAAUGCAUAAAAGUGCUAGGUGCAUUUGUGAGUCCAAACGGCAUAACCAACCAUUCAUAUAAAUCAUAUUUAGUUUUAAAAGCCGUUUUCCAUUCAUCACCCUCCCGCAUACGAAUUUGAUGAUACCCACUUUUUAAAUCAAUUUUAGAAAAUAUGCAAGCACCAUGUAAUUCAUCAAGCAUGUCAUCUAACCUAGGUAUAGGGUGACGAUACUUUACCGUUAUGUUGUUGAUAGCCCUACAAUCCACGCACAUUCGCCAUGUUCCACCCUUCUUUGGCACAAGCAAAACCGGUACCGCACAAGGACUCAUGCUUUUCCUCACGUAUCCUUUGCUCAUCAACUCCUCCACUUGCCUUUGAAGCUCCUUAGUCUUCUCGGGAUUACUUCAAUAAGCUGGUCGAUUAGGAAUGACAGCUUUGGGUAUGAAGUCAAAUUGAUGUUCAAUGCCUCGAAUAGGCGGCAAUCCACUUGGUGCAUCCUCCAGAAAUAUAUCGUCGAAUUCCUACAACAAAGACUUAGCCAAACUAGGGAAGGGUGGGUUAAUUUCCUCAAAAUUGAGGAGUGAUUCCUUAUAAACGAACAAGAUCAUCUCUUUUCUCUCAACUAUCGCCCUCCUCAAAUCACUCUCUUUUACAAAGAAAUUCGCUCGUGUUUUCUCUCUUCUCUUAGGGCACUCUCUUUCUUUUCUCUCUUAUGAUUGCUCUCUCUUUUUCUCUCUAAUGGCUAUCUCAACAUUUUUUCUCUUUUCUCCAACUCACUAUUUGCUCUCAUUUUUUCUAACUCUUUUGCUCUCCUCUCUUCCUCACUUCUCAAUUUUAAUUGGUCCUCAUAGACUUGCACCGGUGUUAAUGGCACAAGAGUAAUGGUCCUUCCAUCCUUAAUGAAACUAUAUCAAUUUUUGUACCCAUCAUGCAUGGCCUUCCUAUCGUAUUGCCAUGGCCGCCCCAAUAAAAUAUGUCCUGCUUGCAUUGGCACCACAUCACACACUAACUCGUCCUUAUAACUUCCAAUUGACAAUUAAGUAACACCCUUCGAUUCACCCUCACCUCGCCACUCUCAUUCAACCAUUGCAAUUGAUAAGGUCUCGAGUGCCUCAACAAUGUUAAAUCUAAUUUUUCUACAAGAGAUUCGCUAGCUACAUUAGUGCAACUACCACCAUCAAUUAUAAUACUACAUACCAUAUUGUUGACGUGGCAUUGAGUGUGCAAAAUGUUCUCUCGUUGCAACUCCAAGUCAUCCGCUUUGACGUGAGUAGUGAGAGCUCGCCUUGUGACUAGUAGAUCCCCAACGAGCCCUUCAACUUUUUCUUCUUCACUAGCAUCCUCCAACGCUGGCAUGUCAUCAAAUUCGCCAUCACUAUCGCUCACAAUCUCUCCAUUAUCCCGCAACACCAUUGGCCAUUUGCUUGGGCAUUGAGAAGCAAUAUGCCCCAUUCCCAAACACCUAAAACGUUUGAUGUCCCGAUUGCGCGACGGUUGUGCCUCCGAUUUUGAUGUUGGUUUUGCUAGCUUUUUCAUCAUUGCCCUUUUGCCAAUCAUUUUUACCUCUAGGUGCAGCCCCAUUUUUGUUGUUGUCAUCCCACUUCAAUUUCCAUGUUAGAUUAGGAGUUGAAGUACCUAACGGUUGCCUAGACGUUCCCUUCCUCUUCAAUUGCCUCUCGACCUUCAUUGCCACAUGUAACAUGUCCUCGAUCUCCACAUAGUGUUGCAACUCUACAACAUUUGCAAUAUCCUGAUUUAACCCAUUCAAGAACCGUGCCAUGGUAGCUCCCAAUCUUCCUCCACAUUAGCUCGAAUCAUAAGAAUUUCCAUCUCCUUGUGAUAAUCCUCUACGCUUUUCGAUCCUUGGUACAAACCUUGCAAUUUUUGAUGGAUUUCCCUAUAAUAGUAACUCGGAACACACCUCCUCCUCAUCAACACCUUCAAUUCAUCCCAAGUGCUAAUUGGUCUUUCCUGACCCCUACGCCGUGAUGUAAGUACUUGAUCCCACCAAGAUAUCGCGUAAUCCACAAAUUCAAGCACAGGUAAUUUUACCUUUUUCUCCUCCGAAUAAUUAUAGCACUCAAAAAUCAUCUCAACCUUCCUUUCCCACUCUAAAUAUGUUUUCGGAUCGCUUCUCUCCUUAAAUUGCGGAAUUGUCAUUUUAAUAUUCCCCAACUUUCCAUCUACUUCAUCUCCCAAGUUAUUUCUACCCCGUCUUUCCAUCCUAUUGCCCUUAUGCCUCGCUCGACCCAUAUCAAUGUCAUUUUCAUUAAAAUCAUUCUCAUCACUACGAUACUCAUCUUGCCUUCCUCUCCUAGAUUCACGCAUAUCCGACCCCCUAGCAUUAGACAUCUCCACUUGUCUCCAGCAAAGAUUAGCAAUUGUAGUACCUAUUUGCGCCAUCCAUUCCCCUUGCCUAUCCACCUUUUCCCUAACAUUGCCAAGUACCAUUUCAAACCUCCUUAUCAUGUCCUCCGAUGCAUUGUUGUCAUUACCGUUUCGGCUUGAAUUAGAACCUUCUCUUUCCGACAUCAUAUCACACAAUUUUUUUAUGCCUCACAAAGAUUUCACACGAAAAACACUCACUAUGACUUUUUCCCUCUAUUAAACUCACCACUCCGCCUUUUACCAUUCAAAGUCUCCUCCAAGCAUUUCAAAGAACCAAAUGAACUAAAUCAAUUAUUUUAUCGGGAAUUCAGACAAACCGAAUAUUAAUCGAAGACUACGAGACUCAAAUGACUUGAAUAAGUGGAAUAAAUGAAUGUUUUGACAAGAAUAUGUGAAUAGACUCAAUAGAAGAUUGAAAGAAUCGAACCCAAUUGAAUAUCCCAAAGUCAAACACAAUGUAGGAAUUGUUGUUAGUAGAAAAACAAAAUCAAACAAUAAUAAUAUCAAAUUUUUUUGUUUGUGAACAGUACUUCGAAUGUACAGUAACCUUUUUUAUCCUUUUUUUUUUUACUCCUUGAUGAAAUAAGAUGAUUAAACUACCAACAACUCAACGAAAUGAUGAAAAGAAAAACAAGAAUGAAGAAGAACUAAGAAAGAACAAUUAAAUUGAAGAAGAAACUAAAAAAACAAAAUUAACGACUCAAACAAAUAAAGAAAAGAUAUAACCUUCAAUUAAUUUGGAGCCAGAGCUCUGAUACCAACUGAUGUGAACCCCGUAGUAAUGUUGACUACGAAACUCACAACGAAAUUGACGAACCCAAGAAAGCCAAAUUAAUCCAAGAGUUUAGGAUUAAUUCAAAAGAAAGUGGAACCAAAAAACCCAACAAGAACGAUGCUUGAAAGACCCCAUGAUCACGCAAUCCAAGAAUUAAAUCCGGUUGUUUGAACGCCACAAGUUAACAUUUGAUAAAUUUGAAGUUGUUCAAUGAAGAACGAUAAAGAGAAGACAAUACGCCUCACUUUUAAUUCAAUAUCAAAUAUGCCAAAAGUUUUUAACGAUUGAGUGAAAACUUCUAUUUAUACUAAACCUAAAAACUAGGUAAAAAUCAUGCAAAAGUUGAUCAUAAUCCCCAAAAUAUGGAAAAGAAUAAAAAACUAACAAAAUAUGGAAAAUUGCCAAAAUUAGGAAUUUUGCCAAAAAAAUGGUCUAUGCGACCGCAUAGUGUAUUUCCAUGCGAUCGCAUGGCGCAAUCCGGUUGGCUUCUUUGAGUUUCAGUAAGCACCUAUGCGGUCGCAUGAUGUUUUAGCCUGUGCGGUUGCAUAGGCUUGUUUUCAACCUCCGGUUUUGUCGCUUGAUAACAAAUUAAUCCAAGUUGAUUCGGCCUUCGACCGGAACAUGAAAGUUGCUCCAUUUUGAGUCCUGAACAUGGUUCCAUCAAUGGUUUCUUGAACGAGCAAUCCCAUCGCUUGUUUCACUUACUUUGCCCUUGAUCGCGUCAUUGGUCCACCAUCAACUAUCAACGGGUCUUGUCUCGCACUUGCCUUCGUCGAGCUCGACUCCCGGGUCAUAUCAUUCGGCCUUGUUGGAUCUUCACUUCUCGAAGACUCGAAUGCUCCAGCACAGAGAGAGGAAGAUAGGAGACGGAUAUGAAUGAGGGUUUCAAAAAAAAAAAAAAAAAAAAUUUGAGUGCGCGUGUGACAAUUGUUUGGCUUGGCGGUCUAAGAAUGAGGGGAAGGCUGCCUUAGAGGAGUAGAACUUUGGGAACCAAACCCGUGGUCCAUGAAACUAAGGCUGCCCUGGACGGAGACCUCUCCUCACCUCCCAUCGAAAACUCAAAUAGGAAAGCAUGUAUAAUUCAUACAGUUAGUCCAUUUCAAAAUUUUGUGUACAGAUCCCAUUUUAAUGUAAUUUCUAUAAUUCAAGCCAGAUUCUCAUAUUCGAUCAUUGUAGAUUCUGGAUUUUGUAAGACAGUUGUUGGAAGAGAUAUACGAGAUGUCUAAAACUAUGACAAUUGGGAGAGACUAGUGGAAGCCAUGCUAUGGAGAGAACAACUUUGGAAUCUUCCUUUAGCUGAAUGGAAUCAAGUUUCAGCUCCGUGUCUUUAAGAUUCAGAGUCAGUCUGGGAUCUCCAAUUCAUGAACAGAAUCUUCAGCUUGAAGCUUAUUCCAGUACAAAAAUUGACCUGCGUUUGGAAAGAUUAUUGCUGUUUGAUUAUAAGAAUAAUCUUGAAUUAUCAUUUUUAUUUCAUAUUUCGUUACCUAUGGAUGGGCCUUUCCUUCUGUUAAUUUUUUUUAUAUAUUUAUUUUUAUUUAGCGUCAAAAUUUCAAUUGAUGAAUUAGAUUUAUGAAAAAAGUGGACUCAAAUAGAUUUACAGUUGUUUGUCUAAGAUAAUUUUUAAAGUUUUGUUAUUGAAAUUGUUUGUGUUAUUUCUAAAUCGAGGUGAAAUUGACUGUAACUAAAAUUUUCUUAUAGGUGUGGAAUAGAUAUCAAAGAACUCUAACCUUAUCGUCUACUCAGUCCAGAUCAAGUGAUGUGAGUUCAAGAGAGCAUUAUUUAAUUUACUAUGAUGUAUUAGGGUUAUAAUUUGUCAGUCGUUUAGUGAGUAAAGGUGCAAUUUCAUUUGAAGUUAAAAUUUAGAAUCUGAAGACUGAACUUACCAAGAAAAUUAGGGCAGCAAGUGGGGUCACUUCAGCAUUUAAUAGGCCUCACCAUGGACGGCAGGACCAAGACUUCAAUUCUUUCUACACGUCUGAAUUAAAAUCGGCAUAACGAAUCGUGAAGAAAUCAGUAAUUAAACUCGAAAUAAUUCAAGAGGGAGCCUCUUAUUUGAGAUUUUGUAGCUGGAUGUCUAAUAUCUAUGAUAAUUGGGAGAGACUUGUGUAAGUUGUUCUCUGUAGGAACAACUCAAGCAGCUUGCUUUAAAUUCCUCGAGGGAACCAAGCUUCAGCUCCAUAUCCUCUAGUAUAUCAGGGUGGAAUACUCCGAUUCGUGAUAAUCGGAAUGUUCAACUUGGAUCUUCUUCAAGUACAGAAAAUAGAACAGAUUAGGAGAGAUUGUUGCCGCCUGAUUAUGAGGACAUCAUCUCCAGAUCAGUGAAUCCUGUGGCCUAUGCAACCAAGGAAGAUCUUUAUAUGAGUCUUUGUAGCUCUCCUAUUUUACUUGAUGGAGGCACAAUGGUAUGUGUAUCCUUAAUUAUUAUGUUUAUAUGAAAAUAUUAAUCUCAUAAUUUUUCCUUACUUAUGGUUGAAUUUAUCAAUUAAUUACAACAUAAAGUGCUAAGACGGAGUUAUUAAGUCAUUAUAAACUCGAAAUCUUGUGUUAUAUUGUUCAGAUUUCAUUAUCAUCAUUUUGUCAGAGGUUCAUCGUAUAAAAUAUUCAUGAACUUUAAUUCAAAGUCUGUGAGAUAAAAUAUAUAAACAAAAUGAAUUUUGGUGUUUGUCAUAUUUUACUAGUAAAACUCACUAAUUAUUAGAACAUUGAAACUUGCAGAGCUUUUGUAUUGAUUAAACAACUGGGAAGAAAUGUUAUAUGAUUGGACCAAUGGAACUUCAUACUCGUAUUUAUGAAGAUCAUUGUUUCGCACGGGUUCGUCGCUAACAAUUAAAAGGGAUCAGGCGAUUGUGUAAAGGACAAACCUCUUGAGACAAAGUCCCAAAAAUGGGUGUUCUUUUAUUGGCGAUGACUUUACAAUUGGAAAUUAAAAACAGAAUGUCUCCAAGGGGCGCAAGCACACGAGUUACUGAAAGAAGUGUUUAAAUCUAAGCUAAGGAAUUUAAAAUUACAUGUUCUCUGUUCGAGAGUUUUUUAUUCGGUCUUUUGCUCUAUGUCUUUUCUCCCUUUUAUACUCCAUGGAUGAUCUCUUUGUGAUCAAGCGCCUAUAAACUGUUUGAUCGUUUUACAACUGCUCACUUUCCUCGUAAUGGCCAACUUGUCAUGAAACUGCUUUUUUUAAUUGCUGCCAUUACUCUUCGUCGUUCAACCAUUUUCGAUUGAAUUCCUUGAAUCGUGGAACGUGAUAGGGCUACUUUAAUAACUGCUUUGAUAACUGCACUUCUUGAUAACCAUAACACUUUAUGUUUGCUAAGACUUUGCGCGACUUGAAGGUUUGGGCGAGAAUAGAGUAACAGCUCUGGGCGACUUGCAAACUUGGGCGAUGGCGUUACCGCGUUCUUGGGCCUCCCUAUUUGGGCCUUCAUCUUGAAUUGUUUGAUUGGGUUUCGUUCUUUGGGCUAUCUGAUUUGGGAACCCUCCAAUUGGGCUUCAUUCCUUGGGCCAUUCGAUUUGGGCUGAAUUUUUAUGUGUCAACAAUUAUCUCCCAAUAUGGCAGAAUUAAUAUCAAUUAUUAAAUUUUGCCAUAUUCACUUUGUGUUUCCAACAACAUUCGAAAUUCCCAAGAAUUUUAAUCAUUGUUUUCUUCCAUAGCUUGAAAAGGUGCGACGUUUUGCAAACCCUUAUAACCUCCAAACACGCCAUUUCACUGCACCAUUAAAUCACGCCUCACUUUUUCGCGUCUCUCCCACGAUUUACUGUUCAUCUUUUGCUUCCCUGUUACAUAACUCUAAAAAAACUCCGUUUCAUCCCUAAUGGCUACUUCACAAUCUCAAGCUGGCGACUCCUUUAGUUUUGAUAACUUUCAGAAACUUCUGAGUCGUCCAUACAUAACUCCGAGUUUUCUCGCGCCCGCCAAUGUCGAACUCAAUAAGUUCUACCUAGGUCUUUUCUUCAACAAUGCAGAGGCAGUCGAACAGGCGGCGGUGGGCCAACUGUUUCCUUGUACUCAAGGCCCUCCAUUUUUAAACUCUCUGCCGCUGGGGCCACUUCGCGAAAGAGGUAUUCACACUUGGCCUAAAUCUGAUGUAGUUUUCCGUAGGUGGCAUGCUCAUCUUGUGGGUCAUGGUCCUACUAAGGCACUUUUUGAUAAUGCUAAGAUUUCUGAUUUGUUAGAAAUCUCUAUUCAACCCCCAACUUUUGAUUCAACACUUUUUUCGAUCGCUUUGAGUUUUUGGUCUUCCGAGUAUAAUACCUUUAUUUUCCCUCUUGGCCCCAUGUCUAUUACUUUAAGGGAUGUUGGGGCCCUGGUGAAUCUAUCACCUUUGGGCGAUACCAUUUUUCCUGGUAUCUUGGUUUCUGGUGGCGCCCCAAAGUUUGGUAAAAACUACACCGAGUCUUAUUCAAGCCUGCAAACCCUUCAUAAUCAUUCGAGCGCUGAGCCUUCCCAUACUGAUCGAGUGGCCUUUCUUCUGGUUUGGCUUUGUAAAUAUAUUUUGUGUGUGACAAACAUAAAGCCCUCGCUUAAUUAUUUACCCAUAGCACAUGAAUUGGCGCGUAGCAGGUCUUUGAAUUUAUGUUCUUUCUUUUUUGCUGCCCUUUAUAGAGGCAUGACUUCUCUUCAAACUCAAUUGAAGAAUGGUGCAUCUCCCACUGGUAGUGGACCUCUUUGGUUCACUCAACUGUGGUUGAGAUCCUAUUUUCCAUUGCUUGGUGCUCCAUCAAUUUCUCGUUCCUCUGCUAGCUGCUAUGGGCAAGCCAUUGAGCCCUUGACUCCUGUAAAUAUGUCUAGAAGGGACAUUUUUUCAUUCUUUUAUUCUUUGGAUUCAAUCCCUUCCUUCUUUCCUUUUCUUCCUUUUUUUACUCCAAACUAUGUGCAUCCCCCCUCCACUAUAGACAGCGCGAGCACCUCCCUACUCAUUUGGAUCCAGUUUUUAACCGGGAGGGAGGUAUUUCAUGAUAUUUUAAUUGGGACCAAUGCCAAGGUAAGGGUAGAAAUUUAUGCUCCCCAAUUUUUUGCUCGCCAACUUGGUUUCGGACAAACUUGGCCUGUUCCUCCUUGCUAUUCAAGGAACUUGAUUGACCGCUUUCAUAUUAUUAAUAAGGCGGAGGCAGAGGCUAUAAAUGCUCGCAAUCUUCUUUUAACAAGCUAUUUUUCAUUAGCCCCCUUCAAUUCUAGCCACGCCAUCCAUCCUCUUUUUGAACAGCUCUGGCCGUCAGUGAAGCGCAGAUUGUUUGUGACUGAUGCCAAUCGUGCCUUUCAUUCACUGGACCAGCUGAGCAUUUCUUCCCCUCCUCCUGUUUUAGUCACUCCUUUGUCCUUCCGGAGUCCUUCUCCUCCUUGUCGCGCUAAACAGUCUGCUCGUCCUUCUUCUUCUCUCCCUGCCAAGCCUACUACAGCCAAGAGUGCCCCAAGCCGCAAACGGCCAGCCUCAGCAUCUCCUAUUCUGGAGGAUGAUGAUGAUACCCCUCUUAUCAUCAGGAGGAAGGUAAUUAAAUUGGUUUACUCACAAGCAUACUUUUCUAUACUUGAAACUUUUCUGUGUGCUGAUGAUUUAUUUGGACUUCUCAGAAAAGUUCAGCUUCUCCUUUAAAGUCUUUGGCAUCUGCAGCUCCUGCUCCAUUAUCUUCCACUGAGGCUGCUUCAUCCAAACCGGUUGAUGAGGGGACUAUGCUUAAAGAGACAUCUUCAGUCCCAGAAUCCUUAUCAUAACCCAUGGAUGAGCCACCUUCUUCCCAGGGCGUCAACCCCCCAAACAUCGAAGCAGAAGGUAAUUCAGUUUUUUGAUGCUUUACCUUUGCUUGUGCUAUUGGUUUCUGAUUUGUUGCUUUUGAGUUCUGCAGAUACUCCUAUGAGUCUGCCCAUUGUGGCAACAUCUUCUCGCUCAGACAAGGGAAAGUCCUCACGAAUGGAGGAGUCACAGGUGGCAGAUUUGGCUAAGGAUAUGCCAUCUUCCACGAUUGUUGAUGAGGUAAUCGUUGCUUCACUUUUAUUUCCAUCUUGUUCGUUGUAGUGAGAAUCUUCAAUAUUGGCAAUUUUCUUUGCAGGGUGCUGACAAGAUUGUGCGUUCUAUCCAAGACUUGUUCUCUUCCUGGGGGCAAGUCAAGACAUCUCACCCUGCUCCAUCUGAUCGUCCUGCUGCUUCUUCAGAGGAAGAUUUGAAGUUCCUCAAGCAGUCGAUAUUUGAGUACGUGUCCUUCAUGGAUAUGAACAUUGGUAGGGCUAGUGCUACCAGACACAAGGAUAAACUUGAGCAUUUAAAUGCGAAGUUGGAGCAAGCACUGACACUUCUGUCGCUCAAUCUUUCUGCCGAUUUUAAAGCGACGUUGAAAGUUAUCCACUCAGAGGUCCUUUCUUUGCUAGCCAAGAAUGCUGAACUAAAAGCCAAAAGUACUCAAUAUCAUCGCACCGUAUCUAAAAAAGAGUCUUAGCUUCUGGAGAUCAACAAGGCUGAGGAUGAGUUGAAAGAAAUCUCUUCCGAAGUCAUGAUUGAAGACUCUUUGAUGGUUAGUUUGGCUGCUCAGAUGAAGGAACUUCAAGCCAAAAUGGACGACUGCAAGGCGAGAAUGGCUGCUAAAAAGCACAACGCCUCCCAGGGAAUUGAGCGAACUAAGUCCUUGGUUGAGCAGUACAAGAAGUUGGAAGUUGAUGAUGAUGUCGUGGCCGAAUUGAACAUCACUUCCUCUCGGCAGAACGAGGAUUGGGAAAAACUUAGGGAACGAAUUCGUUCAGUGUGGGGUGGACUGUAAUUAAGACAUAUGACGCCUUUUUCUUUUGUAAUUUCGCAUUUGAUUUUCUCUUUGUAACCUUGUUCAUUAUUAAUGAACAUAUAUGUUAACUUCUUGUGCAUUUAUUUGACGUUUGUCUUUUAAUCGCCAAUUCUUUAAGCAUUUAACUGCUUUGUGCUAAAAAUCUUGCACAUUUUCUUUUGAUAUUUCCACCUCUUUUCCCAAGACUUUGGGCUAUUUAAUUCCAUUUACUAGGCAGAAUGUGGCUGCUCAUAUUCUGUCUCUUCAUCUCCACCCCCUAUAAAUGUACGUAUGCUUUGCACUUUCUAUCUUCCAUCUUCAUCUUCAUUUUCUCCUUCGAAACCAAUUUGCUGCCAUUGUUUGGCGUUCUGACAAUCAAUCCGAAACCUUUGUCUUUCUAUAAAAAUGGAUUGUUUGGUCCGCCCAUUUUACCAUUUGCCUUGAUGUAACCUUUGGUGUGGGAGGUAUAGGAAAUAUUCUUUGGCUAGCAGCAAAGUUUUUACCAUUAAAGUUCUUCCCAUCGUCUCUUUGUCCUUUACAAGGAGUUCGAUGAUAGAAGGCAAUUUUUGAGAUGCUUGCGGGCCACCUUGCUUGCUGAGAGUGCUUCUCAGCCUCUUUGCCCGCCAUUGCAGCGAUGCAUUUAGUAAGGUGGUGUGAGGCCAGUCCACCCUCUUACUCGGCGAUCCCACCAUUGCAGCGAUGCAUUUAGGAAGGCGGUGCGAGGCCAGUCCACUCUCUUACUCGGCGAUCGACAAGGAGAUUAGCUUACUCUCAAUUUUAGUUUGUAGAACAUCAAUCAUUUGUAUUUUUGCAUCUUUGUACUGAACGUUUGAUAAUAAAGGACUUUAUUUGAACAUAUUUCGCUCUGACCUUGUUAUCCUUAAUCGUUCAACAUAUUUUGAUUAUACUUUUAUCUGUUCACAUUCCCAUAAAGAAGGAACGUAUUUUUUCAAAUAUUUGCCGUUAAUGAAUUUCACGUGCUUGGUGCCAUCUAAAUCUUCCAAAUGAUACGCUCCAUUGGGCAACACACUGUUUAUUUUGUAUGGUCCUUCCCAAUUGGGUGACCACUUCCUGUACUUUGGAUCCUUGCUAUCCAAAGGGAGUAUCGUCUUCCAAACUAGUUCACCUAGGUUGAACGACUUGGCUAUGACCUUUUUAUUAUAAAACUUAGCCAUUCUUUGUUUUUGAACUUGCAAUCUAUCUAAGACGUCCAACUUUAAUUCGUCCAACUCUAAUAAAUUUUGAACUAGUGAUUCGGUAUACUCAUCAUCAUUCAACUUAUGUUGCAAGCACACUCUAAUCGAUUGCACGUUGAUUUCCAUAGGCAAAACGACCUCCUAUCCAUAAGCAAGUUGGAAAGGAGUAACUUUGGUACUCAACAGAGGUGAUGUUCUAUAAGCCCACAAGGCCCUGUUCAGACAUUCGUGCCAAUUUCUAGCAUUUUCAUCUAUCAUCUUUCUGAUGAUGUUUUUUAGAAUCUUAUUAGAAGAUUCUGCUUACCCGUUGGAUUGAGCGUAAUAUGGUGUAGAGUUUACUAAUUUAACCCCAAACUCGCUCAAAAAUUUGUUCACUUGAUCUCCAUUCAAAGAUGUUCCGUGGUCUACCAUCAACGUUUGUGGAAUUCCAAACCUAUAAAUGAUGUGAUCACGGAUAAACUCUAUGACAUUCUUUUGGGUGAUCUCUUUCAAAGGUACCGCCUCCACCCACUUGGUAAAAUAAUCGGUUGCAACUAUAACAAAAGUAUGUUGCUUGAACGAUGGAGGAUAAAUCUUCCCUAUCAGGUUUAUCGCCCAACCUUUGAACGGCCAAUGUUUAAUAAUAGGUGCCAUCUCUCGUGCUGGCGCCCUUUGUAUUGGACCAUGCUUUUGGCAUGCUAAACAACUCUUUGCAUACUGAACGUAUAAUUCUCCCAUCUUUGGCCAAAAAUAUCCACUCCUAAUAAUUAACCAUCUCAUCCUUUGGCCAACUUGAUGAGCUCCACAUAUCCCUUCGUGCACCUCAGCCAUGAUCAUCUUGGCUUCUUGCAAACUUACACACUUUAGUAAUAUACCAUCAGAGUGUUUUUUAAACAACUCUUCAUCUAUUAGUGUAUAGUUCAGCAAACACAGCCUCAUUUUCCUACUAAUCCCUCCAUUAGGUUCUUUAAGGAACCUUUUAAUCUCUAUUCUCCAAUCCAUUGCAUCUCCAUCUUGUAUGCAGUGAAGUUCAAUCUUUCUCGCCCUUCUUUGAGUCACGGGCAAUAUGAUUCCAUACUCACAAGUAGACUUCCAAUUCAAAACCUUUGAGUACCCUGAGACCAUUUGGGCUAACUCAUUUGCCACGUCAUUAUAUAUCCUAUUAACGCAUUGAAGUUCUAAUUAGUCGAAUUCUUCUAACAAUUCUUGGGCGAUCUCAUGUUGACUUAUAAUGGAAUCACUUUGGCAUUUAAAAUCACCGGUCAAUUGGUGGAUUACCAAUUGAGAAUCGCCCCUAACGAUCACAGUUCUUACUCCCAUAUCUAUCAUUAGUUCUAGGCCUACAAUUAAGGCUUCAUAUUCGGCCUGAUUGUUGGUGCACAUUCUGUCUAAAGUGAAUGCGAACUUGUAGCAAAUCCCUAAAGAAUUAAUCAAUGCUACUCCUACUUCUGCACCUUUAGAGGUUUUUGAUCCAUCGAAAUACAACACCCAAGGUUUUAGCUCGAACGAAUUGAUUUCUAAUUCAAUUUCUUCAGGCAUUUCAAGGCAUGGAUGAUCGGCUAGAAAGUUAGCUAAAGCCCGAUUUUUGACUACCUUUUGAGGUAUAUAUUGUAUCUUGAAUUCUGAUAAAGCUAAUGUCCAAAGGCCUAUCCUUUGGUGUAAAAUAGGGCGCGAGAACAUAUAAUUAACUAAAUUUACUUUAAAAAUUAAAUAAACGGUUACGGGCCGUAAAUAAGCCCUUAAUUUUGUACAUGUGAAAUACAAUGCAAGACAUAAUUUUUCGAUAGCAAAGUAAUUACAUUCGCAUUUUGUUAACCGUCUACUUAAGUAGUAAAUUACCCUUUCUCCACCAAAUUGGUCUUCUUGUGCGACCAUUCCAACUAUUUAUUCUUUUUCAGCCGAUAUGUACACUUUCAUUGGCCUCCUUGGAUUGGUGACACCAACACUGGUGGACUUGAUAAAUAUGUCUUCAGGCUUUCAAAAGCCUUUUGAUAUUCUUCUUUCCAGACGAAUUCGUCCUGAUUUUUCAGCUUUAAGAGCGGCGAAAAGACUUUAGUUCACCCUGCACAAUUAGAAAUAAAGCGUCUUAAAAAGGUUACUUGGCCUAGAAACCUUUGCAAUUCUUUUUUGUUGCUAGGUGGUUUGGCCUCUAAAAUGGCCUUCGCUUUAUUUUUAUUAAGUUCAAUCCCUCUCUUGUGUACUAAGAAACCACGAAAAUUCCCUGCAUUAACACCAAAUGCACAUUUCAAGGGAUUCAACUUUAACUUAUAUUGCUUCAUUCACUCAAAUGAACAUCUUAACUGUUCGAAAUGGUCCUCUUCUUUAAUGGACUUGACUACUAUGUCAUCUACAUACACUUCAACAAACUUGCCCAUCAUAUCAUGAAAGAUUAAAUUCAUUGCCCUUUGAUAAGUUGCCCCUGCAUUUUUUGGGCCGAAAGGCAUAACCACCCAUUCAAAACAUCCUAGAGACCCAGGGCAUCUAAAAGCAGUUUUGUGUAUGUCUCCUUCAGCUAUAUAAAUCUGAUUGUAUCCUGAAUACCCAUCCAUGAAAGAAUACAUGACAUGUCCAGCAGUCGAGUCUACUAAAGAAUCCACCGUGGGCAUUGGAUACUCAUCUUUGGGUAUAACUAUGUUUAAAUUCCUAAACUCUAUACACACCCUUAGUUUACCAUUCUUUUUUAGUACUGGCACGAUAUUGGACAACCAUUCGACAUAUCUGGCUAUUCUAAUAAAACUUGCUUUCAAUAAUCGCUCUAUCUCUUUCUUAAUCUCAGGGAGUACGUUGGGAGCAAAACGUCUAGGGGGCUGCCUAUGAGGUUUAAAAUUAGGUUUAGUUGACAACCUAUGUUCAUAUUCCCAAGCAAAACAAUCUUUAUACUCCUUUAACAAAACGAUUAAUUUAUCACUAACCUCUUGAUCGAGUAUCUGGCUGAUGAAUGUUGGACGAUCUUCUCCUUCGUUGCCAAUAUUUACUUUGAUCAGAGGGUCUUGUACUUGAGCAUAUCCAGGUUUGAUGAUCCGCAUUACUUCGUCGUCUAGUUCCCUUGUAAGUACUUCUUCUUCUAAACAGUCCACCUUGUUGACUUCUCGGCCAAUGCUUUGUUCUAACUCGAAUACUGCUAAUUUAUCUUUCAGCGUUUUCAGGGCUGUCUCUUCUUUCGCCUUCUCAUUGCAUUCCUUAUUGAAAGCCAUUAGUCUGGCUUUGAAGGCCUGAAUAUUGUCCAUUUGCUUUUGUAACUUAGAAUCCAUUCAAGACUCCUUGAUUAUUCUUUUGCCAAUUACUGGCCCUUCCAGGGCCACUAUAUUUGGCCUCAUCUGUCUGAACAUUUCAGUGAGUGCGUCCACUGAAAAUGGCUCUUCGCUUUGCGCGAUAACUUGAGUUUCUUCCCUAUCUUGUACUACCCUGACAGGUCCACAGUUUCCUUCGUACAUGAACUUUUCCACCGAGUUUGCUUCUGUGACAAAAGGCCUAUGAUCGGCCUGUACCAUCUCUGCUUUGCCUUUGUUAUUCCAAAAGAUCAGGCAUUGAUGGAGCGAUGAGGGUAUACCUCGACUUUCGUGUAUCCAAUCUCUUCCUAGUAACACAUUGUAACUAGUAGGACCAUCUAUUACAAAGAAGACUGUGGUCCUAGUAGUCGUCCCUAUAGUUAUGUUCAAUGGCAUAACUCCCUUAGCUGAAGUUGCUCCUCCAUUGAAACUCGUAAGGAUGACUUCUGUAAGAAUCAUGUCACCCUCUGUCUUUGCGAACUUCCUCAUCAUCCUAGAUGGAAUGGUGUUUAUAGCUGCUCCAUUGUCGACAAGCACUUUUGCCACUGGGAUGCCGUUAACUAGAGUUUUAACGUACAAUGGCCUCAAGUGUUUAGUCAAUUUCAUGGCUGACCGUUUAAAAAUAACCUUUUCGGCAGCCUCUAUUUCUAUUUCCUGCUUGUCUUCUGUCGAAUUAUCCCCCUGUGAUAAGUCGACGUGCAGCAUAUCGUGCUGAGCCUCUGUCUCCUGAAUUUCCUUCUUACUGUUUUCUAAUGCUUCCUCAUCAGUUACCCAACUUGUGGGAGGGGGCAUUAUUCUUGGAGGUGAUCCAUACUUUUCAGAGCGAGGCACUCUCUUCUUCCUUUUGGGGGUCUCGUACAAUACGUAGAAAUCGAAAGGACGACCAGAUGGUUCUCCCAACAAGUCUACUUCGCGAACUCCCUCUCGAUGCAGUUGCUUCAAUGGAGUAUUGCGCAAUACUCCUCUCCUUUUCCUUCUGCUUCUAGGUCAAUUUCUUCUUCAAUGUCUGUCAUCCCGUCAUCCUCUUCAUCGUUGUAGACCUCUCUAAAAGUCUGGCCUUCUUCACAUUCCAGCACGCGAGCCUUUCUUUCGUUGUCCUCCCUUUUUUCUUCUUCUUUUUCUUUAUUCUUGAAUUCAUUGGCCAGUAAGUAAUUAUUGGCCACGAUAGGAGGUAACGUACCGAACUGGAUAGUGAGGGGCUAAUCUGGAUCUUCUCCAUCCCUUCUGUCCCGCUCAAACUUUGAUCUCCCAGAAGAAGUUUCUGGCAGCUCUUUCAUUGAUUCAUCUGUACUGGUUUCUUCACUAUCCUUGAGAACAUUUUGAUUGGCUAUUUUGAGUAGCUUAGGCGCUUUAGGAUGUGGCACUCCUUGUUGCUACCUCAUCAUUCGUCCAUAGUUUCAUUGGAAACGCCUUUGUUGGGUUCUAGUCAUCUCAUCGAAAGGUAUUGCCCUUCCUGCAUUAUACUAGAAUGAAUGUCAUACAUUUGACCGACGAGGUUGCGGCCUGAAUGUUCUCCCAUUAUCUGCUGGCCUGAACUGCCUCUCAUAAGGCGAUCCUCUAUAGAAUGAUGUACCUCGCCCUCUACCAGGCUGAGUGUUGGGAAAGAAAGUAGGGCGAUGGGGAUGCUGCCAUAUCCCUGGUUUCUCCGUAUUUCCAUUCACUUCUCUUUUACAUCUUGCACACAGGACAUCUUCGUCCUUUUUUGGUUCUUUUCCCUUGAUUCGUUCAAAGACACUGGGAUGUGGUCUAGGAUCCUCUUCUCCAUCAUCUACUACCAACUUGAAUUUUGGCAACCUAUUUUUGAAACCAGAUGUCACCAUGUUCACUCCAAGUGGCUGUGGAAAAGGAUUUUCAUCCACUGCCAUCUUCUUCUUAUCGUCAAACGUAAUUUGUCCUGAUUCAAUGGCAUCCUGCAACACAUGGCGAAAAACCAAGCAAUUGUUAGUCAAAUGUGACCAUGCAUUAUGUCACUUACAAUAUUUUUUACCCUUAAUUUGUUCAGGGUUUGGCAAUUUAUGCUUAUCGCUCAACUUUAUCUGCUUAUCCCUAUAUAAUUUAUCAAAUAUAAGGUCAGCUUUGGUUACAUCGAACGAGAACGUUCUAGCCUUUAUGUUUCCAUCUUUUAUGGGUUCAUCUUUGCUUGAUGGUCUAGGCUUGGCUAUUAUGGGACAAGUAUACAUAUCUCCUUUGACCAAUUCGGCCAAACACAUUUUGGCCUGAUCGUAUAACUCGUCGCUGAUGGUAUGAAAGUCAAAAUUUGGGUCUUUAUAAUAAGUCCCUUUACUAGAAUUUUUCAUCUGUUCUUCCUCUCUUAUCAAUCGUUCAUACCUAAUCACAUUCGCACUCAACUGGAAAAGCUCAAGCAGCCCUGAGUGAUUUUGACAAAUUCUUUUUUAGGCAGAGGUACAAAACACUUGCUUCUUGCUGUCUUGAACCUUUGGAGAAAACUUUCUGCCCAUUCAUUUGGCAUUUGACGUAGAUUCGCCAAAUCAGCCAAAGUGACUUCAAAUUCAGUUUUAUAAAACUGAGCGUGAAAUAGCUGAUCCAAUUGUUGCCAUGUUUGAACAGAGUUCGCUGGCAAGUUGAUGAACCAGGAGAAAGCUACUCCUAUUAAUGAACUAGGGAAAAGCCUCAUUUUAUGGUAAUCGGUUACAUCACCACUUUGCAAUGUGAAUUGCCCUAUGUGUUCUAGAGUAUACACCUCUCCUAAACCAGUAAACAGUGAGAAUUCUGGCACUUUAUACCCUUUAGGCCAUGGAUAUGCUUGAUCUACCCAAUCAGGAUAUGGCUUUGUGUAAGUCGGCCUAAUGACGGGAUGCAUCCCAAAAGCUAUCUGAUCCUGUACGAUUUCCAUAAUCUGAUUCUUCAACAUGACGUUGGGGUCAUAUGGAAUUCCUACAGGCUAGUUAACCGGUUGAUUUGCAUGAGGCCUGAUGUUUGGUCCUUGAUUGGCAACAAAGUUACCAUGAUUAGGGUCAUUACCAUUAGCCUGAACAUCUAUUCCCUCAUUAACACGUGGGGUAUUCUGUCCAUUGUUUAGGACAUUAUCUCUUAUAUUUGGAUUACCCCCCAAGUUAGGCAUACCACUACCAUUGUUCUGAUUUGACACUGCGGUACCCCCUUGGUUUGAAGUAGAGGGACCAGAAAGUGGUUCUACCCCUUGGUUCGAAUUUAGGACUGAGGGAUUAUGUCCCACAAUUGUCUUAGUUUGAAAGUGAUUUGCAAGAGGUAUAACCGGUUGACAUAUUUGGCCUACUAACUUAUUCAUUGUUUUGUUCAAAGUGUUUAGUUGUUUGGCCAUGUUGUUAUAAUGUGCAUUCCCAUUUUGGGUAAAUCUUUUCAUAUUAUGAAUACUUCGAAGAUUUACCUGUUCAACGAUGUCUUGUGUGAGUUCUCCAAGUAAUGCACGCAUGGUUCGAGGACUCAACUCCGUCAUUGGUUCGCAACGACUGUUACUGCUCUGAUUCUAUCUAUCUGUUCGUGGAGAGGCAUGCUGCUCCUCGUAUCGCUCGAUCACAAAUCGGAUUCCUCCCUGACUUGCUGCUUCCUUAUCGGAUCUCUGAGGCAUAUUGUUUCACCUUUUGUAUUUUCAACACCAAACACCACUGUCCCACUGGGCGAGUUACUGAAAGAAGUAUUUAAAUCUAAGCUAAGGAAUUUAAAAUUACAUGUUCUCUGUUCGAGAGUUUUUGAUUCGGUCUUUUGCUCUAUGUCUUUUCUCCCUUUUAUAUUCCAUGGAUGAUCUCUUUGUGAUCAACUGCCUAAAAACUGCUUGAUCGUUCUACAACUGCCCACUUUCCUCGUAAUGGCCAACUUGUAAUGAAACUGCCUUUUUUAACUGCUGCCAUUACUCUUCGUCGUUCAACCGUUUUCGAUUGAAUUCCUUGAAUCGUGGAAUGUGAUAGGGUUGCUUUAAUAAUUGGUUUGAUAACUGCACUUCUUGAUAACCACAACACUUUAUGUUUGCUAAGACUUUGGGCAACUUGAAGGUUUGGGCGAAAAUAGAGUAACAACUCUGGGCGACUGCAUGGCACUCCAUUCGCUCAGAUUCUGGGCGACUUGCGAACUUGGGUGAUGGCGUUACCGCGUUCUUGGGCCUCCCUAUUUGGGCCUUCAUUUUGAAUUGUUUGAUUGGGCUUCGUUCUUUGGGCUAUCUGAUUUGGGGACCCUCCAAUUGGGCUUCAUUCCUUGGGCCGUUCGAUUUGGGCUGAAUUUUUAUGUGUCAACAAUCAUGAUGCAGAAAAGCGAGCUACUACUUUGCAACUUCAACCAGCGUUGGUGGAUAAACGUUUGCAGAUUGCAGUGAGUAGACCAGACAGAUGGAUGGAAGUUCAAUUGGGAAUGUUUUAUAAUGAUGUAGGAGACAAUGGCCUGGUGAAGGCACGGUUGUCAGGUUCCUUUGAGCGAUUGAUUAAUUGCCUCGUUAUUAAAGGAAUUGAGACAAAUGCAAAGAAAGAGCUGGGUGCAAAAGAAAAUGUGAAAAAUCGAAGAACUGAGAUCUUUUCAAAAUUAAGGAUUCUGGAUAAUAUAGAUGUUGGGAAGAAACACUUCUUUAGAUUGCCCAAGAUCAAACAAACUUGCAAUGUGAAAAUCUCAACCACUUGAAGAUGAAAAGAAAAGAUAAGAAAAUUUGGGGAAGAAAAGAUUUUCAAUAUAUAUGAAGAACAAUGGAUUUGGAUUACUUGAACAAGCCUCUAGUUAAUCCCCAAGAAAGAAAAAUAGCUUUGAAUUUAUACCCAAAAAGAACAACCUCUUUCUUGUUAUAUUCUCUCCAAGCUCUCUCUAUUUUUCCUCUCAAAAAAUCGAAUUAUGAAGAAGGUAAAAAUCAGCUAUAUAAAUAGCUAGAUCGGGCACCUAGGUGCCAAGUUUCUACCUCGAUCUGCAUCGAUACUUCUUCUCCAUUUCUCACAAUUCUCCACCUCGUACAUCAUUUCAUAGACCUCAAAUUUUGGACGAACACAAGAAGAAGCAGCAAGCGCUAAACUCGGCUGCACCAUUCAAACCAUGGUUGCCUAUGUACCUAAAACUCGGGAUCAAUCCUCCGUAAAAAUCGGGAUCAAGCCUCCGUAGUUCACCUCAUUUCAAUCCCGCCCUGAAGGGCCAUGCCCACUCGGGCAUAUCAGCACGGACUAAUGUGAAGCAAGUCCAAGCAAUGCUGAAACUUGCUACCCAUUGCCACUUUGGUUAACAUGUCUGCUGGGUUCUCAUUUGUGUGUACCUUCAAGAGAGAAAUAUCACCUUCCUCUAUGACAUCACGCACAAAAUGAUACCUGACGUCGAUAUGCUUGAUUCGAGCAUGAUGAACCUGAUUCUUAGCCAAGUGAAUCGCACUCCGACUAUCACACCACAAGUCCACACAAUCCUGCUCAAUCCCCAAAUCAUCUAAAAGACCCCACAACCACAAUGCUUCCUUCACUCCCUCUGCCAUGGCCAUAUACUCGGCCUUUGUAGUAGAAAGACCCACUGUAGCCUGUAACAUCGAUCGCCAACUAACUGGGGCACCAUGUAUGCAAAACACAUAUCCAGUAGUAGAUCGUCGUCUAUCUAGAUCACCUGCAUAAUUCGAGUCCACAAACCCACUUAUUUGACAUGCAUCUCUACCAAAACAUACACCCGUAUCUGCAGUACCCUUUAAGUACCUCAAGAUCCACUUCACAGCUUCCCAAUGUGCCUUUCCCGGAUUUGCCAUGAAUCUACUGACCACACUAACCGCCUGUGAAAUAUUUGGGCAUGUACACACCAUGGCAUACAUCAAACUGCCAACUGCACUAGCAUAAGGUACACGAUCCAUGCAUACCUUUUCUUCCGCUGUAGUGGAGAUUGUUUACCAGAGAGCCUAAAAUGUGGAGCCAAUGGAGUCACCACCGACUUUGCACCUUGCAACCCAAACCUAGCAAUAACCCGCUCAAUGUAGCCUUUCUGACUCAAGAACAUUCGCCGGUUCGUCCUCUCUCUUCUAAUCUCCAUACCCAGUAUUUUCCUAACAGCCCCCAUAUCCUUCAUCUCAAACUCUUUACCAAGUUGAGAUUUCAACCUAUCUAUCUCUACCUUGCUUUUCGAAGCGAUAAGCAUGUCAUCCACAUACAAAAGAAGAUAGAUAUAGUUACCUCCCCAAAGUUUUUGAAUAUAAACACAACAGUCAUACUCACUUCUGGAGAAACCAUACUUUGGCAUGAAGGAGUCAAAUCGCUUGUAUCACUGCCGAGGAGAUUGUUUCAAUCCAUAUAGUGAUUUUCUCAAGCGACAUACCUGACAUUCCUUAUCCUCAACCUUGUAGCCCUCAGGUUGAUGCAUAUAGAUUUCCUCAUCCAAGUCCCCGUGCAAGAAGGCAGUUUUGACAUCCAGUUGUUCCAGCUCAAGAUCAUGAUGAGCAACAAUACUCAAUAGCACCCGAAUGGAAGUAUGCUUGACCACCGGAGAAAAGAUCUCAUUGUAGUCAACUCCCUCUCUUUGUACAAACCCCUUAGCCACUAACAUUGCUUUGAAUCUUGUACCACCGAGCUUGGUAGGAUCCUCUUUCUUUUUGUACAACCACUUGCAACCAAUAGCUUUCUUACCUAUGGGCAAUGGGACAACCUCUCAUGUUUGGUUCUCAUGAAGUGAUUCCAUCUCUUCUUCCAUCGCUACCAACCAACUCUCACUAUUGUUGUUUAAAAUAGCUUCCUUGAAAGUGGCAGGCUCAUCAUCCUCCACCGAGAGUGCAUACUCAACCAAAUUUGUUUGCCCAUAGUGCCUCAAAAGGCUCGUCUGACCCCAACUUUAGAACUUGCUUGUAAGUACGCCGUGGCCUAGAGGAAGCCAAGUUAUCUGCAAGUUGCUGUUGUUGCUGUGCUUGUACAUUCUCUUGCUGAACCGCCUCUUGUUCAAGCUCAUCAUCACUCUCAUCUUGAAUGUCUGCAUGAAUCUCCUUUUCAACAUGACUAGAACCAAGUUGAUCUCUAGGUUCUAUUUCAACAAUUUGAGACUUUGUAGUCUCAACAUCAUCACUACCGGGCACUGUAGCUUUCAACGAAGCUAUCAUGGAGUUGUCAUCAAAAGUAACAUCUCUGCUGAUUAUGAACGUAGAAUCCUCUACACACCAUAGGCGAUAGCCUUUUACACCUGUCGCAUACCCCAAGAAUAUAGCCUUCUUGGCCCUCGCAUCAAGUUUUCCCUCGUUGACGUGAUAGUAGGCUGUGCAUCCGAAUAUUCUGAGUUUCUCAUAAUCUGCAUAUUUUUCUGUCAAUACUCUGUAAGGUACAUCUCCAUCUAACUUUGAAUGUGGAGAUUGGUUCACAAUGUAGCAAGCAUUUGCAACCGACUCUGCCCACCAUUCUCUGCCCAAACCAGCAUAGGAUCGCAUACAAAUCAGUUUCUCUCGAAAUGUACAAUUCAGUCUUUCUGCAACCCCAUUCUGUUGCGGUGUAUUCCUAACUGUCCAGUGUCUCACAAUGCCUUCCUUACCACAGAACUCCUUGAAAGCACCAUUUGUAUGCUUAGUACCGUUAUCAGAUCACAGUGUCUUCAAUUUCUUUCCUGUUCUGUUUUCAACCAUUGCUUUCCACUUCUUGAAAGUGUCGAAUACCUCAUUCUUAUGCUUCAAAAAAUAAAUCCAAGCAUAUCUAGAAUAAUCAUCAACAAAUGUGACAAAAUACCUGGAACCGCCUUUGGAAGUGACAGAGGCCGGACCCCAUACAUCCAUGUGCACAUAGUCUAGAAUACCUCUGCUUAUAUGUUUGCUUGGCUAGAACUGAACUCGGUGUGCUUUACCGUACACGCAAUGCUCGCAAAAAUCCAUGCAAGGUUUCUUCAAGUUCUUUACCAAACCUUUCUUGAGUAGCAGAUCUAGCCCCUUUUCAGACAUAUGCCCAAUCCUCCUAUGCCAUAGCCGAGUGUGCUCACAUGGGUCUCCACCACUUCCACUUGUUCCAACCGCUACAUCUUCUGUAACUGUAGUACCCUGAAGAGCAUAGAGAUUGCCUUCACGAUUACCCUUCAUCACAAUUAAAGAACCAUGAACAACCUUCUUUACUCCAUUCCAUGAUACAAUCUUGCAACCACCGGAGUCUAAAGCACCAACAGAGAUAAGGUUCUUUCGCAAAUCAGGAACAUGUCUAACAUCAAUUAAUGUUCUAACCACUCCAUCAUACAUCUUGAUUCUAAUUGAACCGAGCCCCACCGUUUUACAGGAAUGGUUAUUACCCAUCAACACGGUUCCACCAUCAGUGCUUCUAUAGGUAGUAAACAACUUCCUAUUUGGACACAUAUGGUAAGAGCAUCCAGAGUUAAGAAUCCACUUACCGGAGAUUUCUUCAUCACAAGAGAUGGCGUAACACUCAUCGUUUUCCCCUCCUUCCGAGGCAUAGCUAACCUCUUGCUUAACUUGCAUAGCUAACCUCUUGCUUAACUUGCACCUUCCCGUAGUUGUUGUUCUUAUUGUUCUUCUUCCAACUCCUUUUGUUAGUACAAUUUGCCUUGAAAUGCCCAAGCUCACCGCAUUUGAAAUAAGGCCUUUUCGUAAGAGGUCUAGAACUCGAUCUCGAUUUUUCUCCCUUGCCCUUUAGUCACACAUUGCUUCUACCUCUUACGAACAAUCCUUGAGCUUGCUCCUUGUUACCAAUGGUAGACAUGCCACUAGUUGCAAUCUUUCGAAGAUCAUUCGCUAGAAGUGACGUUCUAGUGUCCUCCAUCUCAAGUUUUUCACCCACAAGCAUCAAUGUUUGUACUAGGUUCUCGUAAGACUUUGGCAAUGAAAGAAGUAGUAGAAGUGCUUGAUCCUCAUCAUCUACUUUUACAUCAAUGUCCUUCAAGUCCGAUAUACACCUAUCAAACUUGUUGACGUACUCCCGAAUUGGUGUACCUUCAUCCAUCUUUCAAGUAUACAAUUUGGACAUCAAAUAGAUCCAAUUUGUUAGAGUCUUCGUCAUGAAGUUCGCCUCCAACUUUGUCCACACCUCUGCCGCCGUUUCUUCACCAUCAACCAAGAAAGCAUCUCUUUCAAGGCAUAGAAUGAUAGACGCUCGUGCCUCAAGAUCUAGAUCUUCCCAAUCCUCGUCAGACAUAUCUAUGUGCUUCUUCUCCUUUCCCGCCAAUGCCUUGUGCAACUUUUGAGAAAUUAACAAAUUCCUCAUUUUCACUCUCCAAUAUGAGAAGUCAUUCUUCCCAUUGAAUUUCUCUAUCUCAUACUUCCCAAUCUUCACUGUUCCUCUAGUAGACAUGGUUUAUCUACUUGUUUACUGAAAAUAAAGCAACAAAGUUCACUUGAAAAUUUUCACAAACACCUUGUGUGCACAACAAAGUUUAAGCUGCCCACCAAAAAUCGGAGCUUAACCACCCUGAUUUAAGAAGAAGCUCUGAUACCAAAUUGUUGGGAAGAAACACUUCAUCAGAUUGUCCAAGAUCAAACAAACUUGCAAUGUGAAAAUCUCAACCACUUGAAGAUGAAAAGAAAAGAUAAGAAAAUUUGGGGAAGAAAGAUUUUCAAUAUAUAUGAAGAACAAUGGAUUUGGAUUACUUGAACAAGCCUCAAGUUAAUCUCCAAGAAAGAAAAAUAGCUUUGAAUUUAUACCCAAGAAGAACAACAUCUUUCUUGUUAUAUUCUCUCCAAGCUCUCUCUAUUUUUCCUCUCAAAAAACCGGAUUAUGAAGAAGGGAAAAAUUAGCUAUAUAAAUAGCUGGAUCGAGCGCCUAGGCGCCAAGUUUCUGCCCCUUUCUAUGCAUCGGGGUGCCAUGGGCGCCUAGCCGCCAAGUUUUUGCCUCAAUAUGCAUCAGUAAGGCGCCUAGGCGCCCUGCUUCUUCUCCAUUUCUCACAAUAGAAAUAAAUUUUCUGGCUCCCUCUGAUUUGCUUCCCUUUUCUCUUGUUUGACAUGCAUACGUAAUGACUGAGAAGAAUAAAGAGUUGUUGCAAAGAAACAAGUGAAGAUUUUUGAGCAAAGUGUUAUUUAAAUAUUAUAGGGUCUGAAUUUAUGUUGAUCUGAAACAAUAAAAAGAAUAAUUACUUUUGAGUCAUACCACUUCAAAAAUAUUCCAAUCAAAUCAUGAUUGGUAGAAUAGAAUGUAUGACGUUACUCAGUGGUAAAGGAAAUAGUUAAAAUAAUCCCUAUCAUAUACUUUUGUGCCUACGUUAUGAAGAGCAUCAGUUUACAGACUCAAAUACUAAGCUAUUCAGAUACAGUUACAUAUCACUCAUCAGAUUUCGAGCUUUUCUCCCCUUGGUAUGUACUACAUGUCCAGUUUGAUCACACCACUGAUAAUGAAUCGAACAAUAUAGAUGGAAUUUCCCAAUCUCGAAGGGAAGAAAGAGCAGAUAAAAAAUAAAUUUAUCUCAUAUGACUGCAGUCCCGACCUCCUGGAAGUUCAAAUAACAAAAUAAAUAGCUUCCACAAAAACUGGAGGAACUUUACAUUAGAAUAGAGCAGUGUGUCCUUGGUC